AUUGAACGCUGGCGGAAUGCUUUACACAUGCAAGUCGAACGGUAGAGGGGGCAACCCCUCGAGAGUGGCGAACGGGUGAGUAAUAUAUCGGAACGUGCCCAGUCGUGGGGGAUAACGUAGCGAAAGUUACGCUAAUACCGCAUACGAUCUAAGGAUGAAAGCGGGGGAUCGCAAGACCUCGCGCGACUGGAGCGGCCGAUAUCAGAUUAGGUAGUUGGUGGGGGAAAGGCUAACCAAGCCAACGAUCUGUAGCGGGUCUGAGAGGACGACCAGCCACACUGGAACUGAGACACGGUCCAGACUCCUACGGGAGGCAGCAGUGGGGAAUUUUGGACAAUGGACGCAAGUCUGAUCCAGCCAUUCCGCGUGCAGGAUGAAGGCCCUCGGGUUGUAAACUGCUUUUGUACGGAACGAAAAGGUCUCUCUUAAUACGGGGGACUCAUGACGGUACCGUAAGAAUAAGCACCGGCUAACUACGUGCCAGCCGCCGCCGUAA
rnacentral:rRNA from 1 species